GCCAGCGUGGCAGUGGUUUGAGUGCUGGACUACAACUCUGGAGACCAGGGUUCGAUUCCUGGCUUCCCUGGGUGGCC